AGUAAAAAGUAGAAUAAUAGAUUUGAAAUAUUUAUUAUAUAGAUUUAAAGAGAUAAUCAUGGAGUAUAAAUUAUUAAAUAAGAUAAGAUUUAAUAAUAACUAUUAAUAGGAUUAGGUUACUAAUAAAUUAAUAAUAAUUAAUUUAAAAACCUAAAGGUAAACCUUUAUAUUAAUAAUAUAUAUAUUUAUAUUAUUAAUAAUAAUAAGAACUAAGUGAACUGAAACAUCUAAGUAACUUAAGGAAUAUAAAUCAACAGAGAUAUUAUGAGUAUUGGUGAGAGAAAAUAAUAAAGGUCUAAUAAGUAUUAUGUAAGAAGUAUGUAAGAAAAUAGGAUAACAAAUUCUAAGACUAAAUACUAUUAAUAAGUAUAAUAAGUACCGUAAGGGAAAGUAUGAAAAUGAUUAUUUUAUAAGCAAUCAUGGAUAUAAUUUUAAUAUUAAUGAUGUACCUUUUGUAUAAUGGGUCAGCAAGUAAUUAAUAUUAGUAAAACAAUAAAGUUAUAAAUAAAUAGAAAAAGUAUAUAUAUAAAAAAAUAUAUUAAAAUAUUUAAUUAAUAUUAAUUGACCCGAAAGCAAACGAUCUAACUAUGAUAAGAUGGGUAAACGAUCGAACAGGUUGAUGUUGCAAUAUCAUCUGAUUAAUUGUGGUUAGUAGUGAAAGACAAAUCUGGUUUGCAGAUAGCUGGUUUUCUAUGAAAUAUAUGUAAGUAUAGCCUUUAUAAAUAAUAAUUAUUAUAUAAUAUUAAAAUAAUAUUAUAUAAAGAAUGGUACAGCAAUUAAUAUAUAUUAGGGAACUAUAAAAGUUUUAUUAAUAAUAUUAAAUCUCGAAAUGUUUAAUUAUAUAUAAUAAAGAGUCAGAUUAUGUGCGAUAAGGUAAAUAAUCAAAAGGGAAACAGCCCAGAUUAAGAUAUAAAGUUCCUAAUAAAUAAUAAGUGAAAAAAAUAUUAAAAUAUUAUAAUAUAAUCAGUUAAUGGGUUUGACAAUAACCAUUUUUUAAUGAACAUGUAACAAUGCACUGAUUUAUAAAAAUAAAAUAAUAUUUAAAAUCAAAUAUAUAUAUAUAUUUUUGUUAAUAGAUAAUAUACGGAUCUUAAUAAUAAUAAGAAUUAUUUAAUUCCAAAAAUGGAAUAUCAUAUUAAAUUAAUAAAAAAUAUGAAUACUGAAUAUCUAAAUAUUAUUAUUAAUAAUAAAUAAUAAUAAUAAUAUGGUAAUAGAACAUUUAAUGAUAAUAUAUAUUAGUUAUUAAUUAAUAUAUUAAUUAAUUAAAUAGAGAAUGCUGACAUGAGUAACGAAAAAAAGGUAUAAACCUUUUCACCUAAAACAUAAGGUUUAACUAUAAAAGUACGGCCCCUAAUUAAAUAAAUAAGAAUAUAAAUAUAUUUAAGAUGGGAUAAUCUAUAUUAAUAAAAAUAAUCUUAAAAUAUAUAUAUUAUUAUUAUUAAUUUAUUAAUUAAUUAAUUAAUAAUAUAUAUAAUUAUAUUUAUAUAUUAUAUAUAUAUAUAAUAUAAACUAAUAAAGAUCAAGAAAAGUAUUAAUGUAUACCGUAAUGUAGACCGACUCAGGUAUGUAAGUAGAGAAUAUGAAGGUGUAUUAGAGAAUUAAAGGGAAGGAACUCGGCAAAGAUAGCUCAUAAGUUAGUCAAUAAAGAGUAAUAAGAACAAAGUUGUACAACUGUUUACUAAAAACACCGCACUUUGCAGAAACGAUAAGUUUAAGUAUAAGGUGUGAACUCUGCUCCAUGCUUAAUAUAUAAAUUAAAUUAUUUAACGAUAAUUUAAUUAAAUUUAGGUAAAUAGCAGCCUUAUUAUGAGGGUUAUAAUGUAGCGAAAUUCCUUGGCCUAUAAUUGAGGUCCCGCAUGAAUGACGUAAUGAUACAACAACUGUCUCCCCUUUAAACUAAGUGAAAUUGAAAUCGUAGUGAAGAUGCUAUGUACCUUCAGCAAGACGGAAAGACCCUAUGCAGCUUUACUGUAAUUAGAUAGAUCGAAUUAUUGUUUAUUAUAUUCAGCAUAUUAAGUAAUCCUAUAAUUUUAGGUAAUCGUUUAGAUAUUAAUGAGAUACUUAUUAUAAUAUAAUGAUAAUUCUAAUCUUAUAAAUAAUAAUUAAUUAAUUAAUUAAUUAAUUAAUUAUUAAUACUUAAUAGAUAUAAUUUCUUAAGUAAUAUAUAAUAUAUUAUAUUAUUAUAUGUAUUAUAUAUAUAUAUAUAAGAGACAAUCUCUAAUUGGUAGUUUUGAUGGGGCGUCAUUAUCAGCAAAAGUAUCUGAAUAAGUCCAUAAAUAAAUAUAUAAAAUUAUUGAAUAAGAAUAAUAUAUAUUAUAUAUAUUAAUUAUAAAUUGAAAUAUAUUUAUAUUUUUAAUGAAUAUAUUUUAGUAAUAGAUAAAAAUAUGUACAGUAAAAUUGUAAGGAAAACAAUAAUAACUUUCUAUUUAUUAAUUUAUAAAAAAAGUAUAGAAAGAAUUAGAUUAAUAUAAUGGUAUAACUGUGCGAUAAUUGUAACACAAACGAGUGAAACAAGUACGUAAGUAUGGCAUAAUGAACAAAUAACACUGAUUGUAAAGGUUAUUGAUAACGAAUAAAAGUUACGCUAGGGAUAACAGGGUAAUAUAACGAAAGAGUAGAUAUUGUAAGUUAUGUUUGCCACCUCGAUGUCGACUCAACAUUUCCUCUUGGUUGUAAAAGCUAAGAAGGGUUUGACUGUUCGUCAAUUAAAAUGUUACGUGAGUUGGGUUAAAUACGAUGUGAAUCAGUAUGGUUCCUAUCUGCUGAAGGAAAUAUUAUCAAUUUAAAUCUCAUUAUUAGUACGCAAGGACCAUAAUGAAUCAACCCAUGGUGUAUCUAUUGAUAAUUUAAUAAUAUAUUUAUAAUAAAAAUUUUAUAAUAAAUAUAUUAUCUAUAUUAGUUUAUAUUUUUAUAUAAUUAUCAUAGUAGAUAAGCUAAGUUGAUAAUAAAUAAAUAUUGAAUACAUAUUAAAUAUGAAGUUGUUUUAAUAAGAUAAUUAAUCUGAUAAUUUUAUACUAAAAUUUAAUAAUUAUAGGUUUUAUAUAUUCUUUAUAUAUUAAUAAUAUUUUUUAUAAUAUUAAUAAAAUACUAAUUUAUCAGUUAUCUAUAUAAUAUCUAAUCUAUUAUUCUAUAUACU
rnacentral:rRNA from 2 species